ACACCACAAACUGUAGAAUGACGUGAUAGUGAUUUCAGUGA
rnacentral:guide_RNA from 1 species